rnacentral:rRNA from 1 species
UACGGAGGGAGCUAGCGUUGUUCGGAAUUACUGGGCGUAAAGCGCACGUAGGCGGCUUUUUAAGUCAGGGGUGAAAUCCCGGGGCUCAACCCCGGAACUGCCCUUGAAACUGGAGAGCUAGAAUCUUGGAGAGGCGAGUGGAAUUCCGAGUGUAGAGGUGAAAUUCGUAGAUAUUCGGAAGAACACCAGUGGCGAAGGCGACUUCGCUGGACACAUAUUGACGCUGAGGUGCGAAAGCGUGGGGAGCAAACAGG